UACGGAGGGUGCGAGCGUUGUCCGGAUUUAUUGGGUUUAAAGGGUGCGUAGGCGGCUUGCUAAGUCCGGGGUGAAAGCCCGUUGCUCAACAACGGAGGUGCCCCGGAUACUGGCGGGCUUGAGUCGGGUUGAGGCCGGCGGAACGGACGGAGUAGCGGUGAAAUGCAUAGAUACCGUCCAGAACCCCGAUUGCGAAGGCAGCCGGCUGGGCCCGCACUGACGCUGAGGCACGACAGCGUGGGGAGCGAACAGG
rnacentral:rRNA from 1 species